GCCAGUGUGGUGCAGUGGUUUGAAUAUUGGACUAGAAUCUGUGAGACCAGGGUUCCAAUCCCUGUUCAGCCA